GUGAUCGGUAUGAUACAUACCUUGGCCAAUUUUCGCACCAAAACAGAAAAAGGCCGUACCCAGGCCUCAACCCAGUAGACGGCCCCCGGCCCAUAUGGGAUCGUUGGGUUGCGGGGAAGUGGAUGGGUCCGGCCUAACCCUCGUCUUCCCGGACCUCGCUGGGUGGAGUUCCGCCGCCGAUGGAUCAUCGGCUCCCGCAACUCCGACGCCCCAGCCGCCGCGGCCCCUACCGCCGGCAUGCUUGGCGAGGUCGCCACCUACCCCCUCCCCCGCCCCCUUCCCAUUCCCCUAACCUUUCCCGGCGGUGCGCCCUUGUCCUCAUCACAGAUCCAAGAUCCUCGGCGGCGUCGUCCUCACUCAUCAAGGCGGCCGAGGUCGUUACGCGGUUCCGGGAGCGGGGCGGGACAUCGCGACGCGCCACCAGUGCCUACUUGGCGGUGCUGCAGGAGAUGGUAAGACGUUGGCGUCUGGGACGCGGCCACCGGCGAGCAUGUCGACUUCUUCUACGAGCCGCCGGGCGUCCGCCGACAUGCUUCAGUGGUUGGAUGCCACCAACGCGAUCAUGAUGGCCACACAGUUCCUCAAGACGGACAACUCCUCCAUUGGCCUGCUGGACUUCCGGGACAAGAGCGUGGCCUGGUCGUGGUCAGUGGUCUGACGCUGGCACGGCCGCGUCGCUCGAGGACAAGCGGGUGCUCCACGCCAUCGCAUGGACGACGAGCGCUCCGUCUGCGUCAUCAACCAGUACGACAACCUCAGCUUCCUGGACCCGAGGAAAAGUUAAAGAUGUUGGAAUGAAGAUGAACAAAGAGUAUUCAUAUAGGCACCACAACUGCACGAGUCCAGCAGGUGCUGAGAUAUUCAUUAUAUUAUUUAUAUAUCUGCUUGCAUGGAAGUUAUUUUUUAAGUAGCUAUUUCUACAGAAGUAUGUUCUAGCACAGUUCAUUGGUCUCAGGUCUCUACUAGCUAGGGGGCCGUGUGUUGCUGUGAGAACCACGAUAAAGUUAGUUGAAAGAUUACUUUAAACAUGUUAAAUUAUCUGAAGUCAUCAUACAAGUCUAGUUGGAUUGGUAGUCAAGUCACUGCCUCAAAAUAAUAGAAAUAUCUUGCAAUUUACUGAAGAGAAAUGCUACACCAUUAGCUUUUUGUAGAUUGCCUUAUUACAGUGCCGAAAACAUUGAUAUCUUAUAUGGUUACCUUUUUUAUAAUAAGCAUUUAUGUCCAUGUAUAUAUAAAUAGUUUUCCCAAGUAUUCUGAUGUAUGGAGCAAUGGUUAGCACGUGACUCUUAAAAAAAUGAACUAGAUAUAGUUCCUAGUUUGGAUGUCUGCUGCUCCAUUUUUCUAAAUAAUGCAUUGGUUCUAUGCCUGCAGAAGAAGAAUUAAAAACAUGUGUGCAGGUUUCCACAUAUUUUCUUAAUACAUGCCAGGUUUUUCAACAACGCAUUCUACGCUGGAGUAGGAGGAAUCAGCACAGUCGAGAUGAAUCGGAUUGAACUUGUUUAAUCUGGACUUCAGGCUGAAAGUGAACCUAGAGACGUUUGGGAACUACUUUUUGCAGUUGGAGAAACAUGCAACUGCUUCACCAUGGAGACUGCCAGUUCAACUUCUCUCUGUCAAUGGAUCUAAAGAUUUGAGGUAUGGCGGUAGCGCUGAUGAGCUUUGCCAGAGCAAGCUGGUUCACCAAAGUUAUGGCAGCAAGGUUUUCCAAGGAUGUAGGUGACCAAGUUAUUUGCGGCCGAUGGUUUUCCAGAGCAUAGGACCUGAUUAAUAAUUAUUCCUUAGACCUGACAUUUGUGCAUUCGGAUUACGUUUAAGUCGUUCUGGAGUGUUUGAUUGGUUGGGGAUCAAUUAUUGUGCACUCAGAUUGUGUUAAGUCCUUCUCGAGUGUUUGGUUAGCAGGGCAUUGAUCCAGUUUACUUCGGCAUCACUGUAGUUCUUGCAAACCACUUUGUUUUUUCGCCAACGGGUUGGAAAAUAACAGGGGUGUAAUUGCAUUUGUUGCCAAGUAUUCCAUCGGCAGAUGAAUCUGGCUUUUCCAUGAUCAUGUUUUGUUCUA